rnacentral:rRNA from 1 species
UACGGAGGGUGCAAGCGUUGUUCGGAUUUACUGGGCGUAAAGCGCGCGCAGGUGGGUGUGCAAGUCGGAAGUGAAAUCUUGAGGCUCAACCUCGAGGCUGCUCCCGAAACUGCACGCCUAGGGACUGGUAGAGGCUGGUAGAAUUCCCGGUGUAGCGGUGGAAUGCGUAGAGAUCGGGAAGAAUACCCGUGGCGAAGGCGGCUCUCUGGAACGCAACUGACGCUGAGACGCGAAAGCGUGGGGAGCAAACAGG